CGUUCUCCAGCCCCAAUGACUUAAUCGGCUGACAUGAAGUAGAUAAGAUUGUAUUUGUACUGCAACUGGGCAUGGUUGAAGUUUAAUUGUGUUGGUAAACAGAGCCCAGUGGCUGCUUUGGAAUUUCUGCAGAUGCCACAGAAUUAUUCCUCUGCAGUUUGGGACGUGCCUCUUACAUCUUUCACUGAAAUGAAAAUUGCUUCCUGACAGAGCAGAGGCCUCAGUGCUGGAACUAGAGGUGUGGUAGCCCUCUAAGAUUCCAAAGGAUCUUUCGCUUAACACGGAAGAGGAAACCAGGGCAAAUUUCUGGCAAAAUCAAAUGCCAUCUCCUCACUGCAAAAUGCUCGUGUGUUUCAGGAGAGACAAUAAUUGCUAAAUAUCUAGAAAUCUCCUUGCUGGGUUCUCAGGGGCCCCAAGGAUCAAUAAGCCAGGCUGCUGCUGAGAGAAGUCACCGGGUCACUGAGAAAGAGAUCACCUUUGGCUCCUGGUGUUCACCGACGCUGGCGGAAGCAGCAUUUCUCUUGGAUCCAGCAGAUUCACUGGGAACUGGACUAAAAACAUUUUCCUUCACUGUGGGAAAAUCCUGAACAAUGUUUCAGACUUUCAGGAAGACAAAAGAGAUUGGCAUUGUAGCCAGAAUGGAAGUGCUGGCCGUGACACCAUCUCUGCCCCCAGGGGAGUAAGCUUCUGUUCAUUUUACUGCGGCCAUGUGAAUGUACGGCCACCAUAUUUUACCCGUAAGACACACAAGCAUUUGGACCCAGGAAGCCACUAGAAACCUUGGAGCCUAUGUUGCAUCUCUCAGUCAUGAGCAGGAUCAGGGCAAGGCCAGAGUAAAGCCCAAGAAAACCGCACUGGCUCUGGGGCUCUGACUGACAUCAUCUUUGUUGAUAGCUCUUUCUCCACUCUGAAGAAGAACCAGCUCACCUUCCGCCCCACCCAAUAAAACGGCUCGGCAUUUAUUACCACCUGAAAUCACUGCAGAUGGUGACUGCAGCCAUGAAAUUAAAGACCCUUGCUCCUUGGAAGAAAAGUUAUGACCAACCUACACAGCAUAUUAAAAAGCAGAGACACUUCUUUGCCAACAAAGGUCCAUGUAGUCAAAGCUACGGUUUUUCCAGUAGUCAUGUAUGUAUGUGAGAGCUGGACUAUAAAGAAAGCUGAGUGUCAAAGAAUUGAUGCUUUUGAACUGUGGUGUUGGAAAAGACUCUUGAGAGCCCCUUGGACUGCAAGGAGAUCCAACCAGUCCAUCCUAAAGGAAAUCAGUCCUGAAUAUCCAUUGGAAGGACUGAUGCUGAAGCUGAAACUCUAAUACUUUGGCCACCUGAUGCAAAGAACUGACUCAUUGGAAAAGACCCUGAUGCUGGGAAAGAUUGAGGGCAGGAGGAGAAGGGGACGACAGAGGAUGAGAUGGUUGGAUGGUAUCACUGACUCAAUGGACAUGAGUUUGAGUAAGCUCUGGGAGUCGGUGAUGGACAGGGAGGCCUGGCAUGCUGUAGUCCAUGGAGUCACAAAAGUUGGACAAAACUGAGAGACUGAACUGAACUGAAAUAUUAUGACAUAUUUUUAUUUGUUUAUUGUUGGCUUCCCCGCACUAGAAUAUAAGCCCGA
ensembl:lncRNA